rnacentral:rRNA from 1 species
ACUCAAAUGAAUUGACGGGGGCCCGCACAAGCGGCGGAGCGCGUGGCUUAAUUCGAUGCAAAGCGAAGAACCUUACCUGGGUUUGACAUGCACGCAGUAGUGAUCCGAAAGGUGAUCGACCCGUAAAGUCGGGUACGUGCACAGGUGCUGCAUGGCUGUCGUCAGCUCGUGCCGUGAGGUGUUGGGUUAAGUCCCGCAACGAGCGCAACCCCCGCCCUUUGUUGCCAGCGGAUAAUGCCGGGCACUCGAAGGGGACUGCCGGCGAGAAGCCGGAGGAAGGAGGGGAUGACGUCAAGUCCUCAUGGCCCUUACAUCCAGGGCUGCACACGCGCUACAAUGGUCGGUACAAUCCGCUGCAAGUCCGCAAGGAUGAGCCAAUCGGAAAAAGCCGGUCGUAGUUCGGAUUGGGGUCUGCAACUCGACCCCAUGAAGUUGGAGUCGCUAGUAAUCGCCCAUCAGCAUGGGGCGGUGAAUACGUUCCCGGGCCUUGUACACACCGCCCGU